CCCCGCGCGCCCUGCGCUCGCCAUGGCCGCCCCGGCGGCGACGUGAGCCGCUCGGCGGACCCCGCGCCGGGGCCGGGCCGUCCCCAGAGCCGCCGCCGAGCCUCCGGCGCCAGAGCCCCGGGCCAUGCGGCCGCCGCCGCCGCCGCUCCUGUCGCUGCUGGUGCCGCUGCUGGUGCUGCUCGGCGGCCGCGCCGCCGCCGCGCCCCCCGCAGACUCUCGUGCCCAGCUGCCAGCUCCUCGAAACCCGAAGGUUCGCCUAUACAACGCCGAGCAGGUUCUGAGUUGGGAGCCCGGGUCCCUGAGCAAUGACACAAGGCCGGUGGUCUACCAGGUGCAGUUCAAAUACCCCUCUGACAGUAGGUGGUACGACACCAGCGACAUAGGUGUGCACUGUAUGAACGUCACCACGACGGAGUGUAACUUCACCCCAAGCAGCCUCUCAAAUGGUUUCCCACCACAUUUCAACGUCUCUUUACGUGUCCGAGCUAAGUUGGAGGACCUGGUUUCCCCAUGGCUGUCAGUGCCUUGGUUCCUGUACUAUUGGAAUGUUACCGUUGGACCUCCUGAGAACGUCUGGGUGACCCCGGGAGAAGGCUCCCUGAUCAUCAGAUUCUCCUCUCCCUUCGACAUCCCUGCCUCCCUGGCCACUUUUGUGUACUAUGUCCAUUACUGGGAAAAGGCAGGAGUCCAAAAGGUUAAAGGUCCCUUCAGGAGCAACUCCAUUGUGUUGGAUGACUUGAAACCCUUAAGAGAAUACUGUUUACAAGUGAAGGCGCAUCUGGUUUGGACAUACUACAACAACAUCUCCAGACCGGGACAUUUAAGCAAUAUAUCUUGCUACAAAACAACAAUGGAUGCCGCUACCAAGCUUCAACAAGUCAUCAUCAUCGCCGUGGGUAUCUUUCUGUUGCUGUCGGCGCUGGCGGGGGCCUGUUUCUUCCUGGUCCUGAAAUACAAAGGCCUGGUAAAAUAUUGGUUUCACUCUCCGCCAAGCAUCCCAUCACAAAUCAAAGAGGUCUUGGUCUCAGGCUGGUGAGUUUGAGCCCUGCCUUGGGCUCCCUGCUGGGUGUGGAGCCUACUUAAAAAAGUGGUACGGAGUUAUUUGGACACCCCUGUUCAUAGCAACAUUAUUCACAACAGCCAAACGCUGGAAGCAACCUCAGUUUCUGUCAGUCGAUGAAUGGAUAAACAAAAUGUGGUCUAUCCACACAAUGGAAUGUUACUCAGCCAUAAAAAGGAAGGAGGUUCUGACUCACGCAACAACAUGGGUGAACCUUGAGGAUAUCAUGCUAGGUGAAAUAAGCCAGUCACAGAACGACAAAUGCUGUGUGAUGCCACUUACAUGAGGUUGGUGAAAAAGGUGGCCUGGCUUGGCCAAGAUUAGCAGCGUGUGAGACUUGCGCCUUGUGGAGAGAGCCCCCAAGACGCCUGGCAGAGGGUGGGAAGGCGGUGAAGCCAGGGCUCUAGGCAUGAGCUGUGCACUUAGAAGGAUUCUAGAGUAAACGCACCCACGGCUGUGAGUACAGAGCCUUCCCCACAGAGAGCUCACCGAAUGUCACUGGUAUUUUGAAAGACCUGAGGAAGAUGGGUGGACCGGGUCUCGUGGGAAGUUGAUUUCCUGCACAGCAACCCCCCCCUCCCCGGCUCUGUGCAGUGGCCAAGCCCUCCGAGGAGCCUAUGGAAGAUUAUUUAAAGGUAUUUGUUUCUGGAGGCUUAUUAGCAGUAAAAUCGGGGUAAAGAUACUGGAAACAGAAUCUUACUCUGUUGCAUCUAGAAGGAACAGGUGUUAGAUAAGGUCCAAGUCUAUAGAGAAAGAGUAGUGCUUCUAGAAAUAGAGCUGGAGAGGUAUUUAAAGUACCCAGACAUAACGCAAAUUACAUGUGAAUUUCCCCACUAGAAAACUCCAGACAGAUACUGCAUGAUUGGACUUACAUGAGGCAUCUAGAAUAGUCCACCUCCUAGAAGCAGGAGUCGAAUGUGGUUGCCGGGGGCCAGGGGAGAGGGACCCAGGGAGAUGCUGUUCAACGGGUAUGAAGUUCCAGUUACGCAGGAUGAGUAAGUUCUGGAGAUCUGCUGUGCAUCAUCAUGCCUAUAGUUAGUACUGCACUGUGCCCUUAAAAAUUCGUUAAGAGGGUAGUUACCACAAAAAAACAAAAACAAAAAAACCCUUCCCUGGUUAAUACUUCACACAGUUACAGCCCUCACUGGGUCUCAGAAUCUUACUUGCACGAUCUCUCUCUCACGAAGAACCACCAGCAGGUCCCAAUGAAGUGUAUUUACUACUAGCUGGUCCUUGGGGGCGUGGUCUAAAACAGAGUCUUUCGGUUCACUUUCCUGGGAAAGUGUGAAAAAUAGACAUCAAAGGGCACUGAAGUUACACAAGAAUAAUGAAUCAGGUUUUGCUUAUAUUUCUGAGGUUUCAGAAGUACACAUAAUUGGUUUAUGUCCCUCUUGUCAUCAGUCAGCUCAGCUCACUGCGCAUUCCGGUGUCUCUCGGCAUAUCUGGGAGUGAGGCGGGAGUUUCUCGGUCCCUCAGCAGUGAAGGGAUGGCUCAGCCUGGAACAGAGGCUGGAGGGAAGGGGCAGGCGGGGCGCCCUGAGGCCCCCUCCGCACUCCUUGCUUCUCUCCUGGGUGUGUGUUUGUGUGAGGUGGAAGCAACUGGUGGGUGGAGGGCCUGAGGAGAACACUGGCGACCUUUCCCUCCUUUCCCCCAUGAGGGGUGACCUGGAAGCCCCUCAUCGUCCCUCGCUGGAAAGUCAGAAUUCCAUAGCCACUUGGGGAAGAACGGUCCCCAAGCCUGCACCAAGGGCAGGAAGUCACAACAUGCUUGUCCCUGAGGUAUGGUGUGCCCUGGGCUGGCCCUUGGGUCUCAUUGAGGUUACUGCUGACGUGAGGGGUGUUCUCAUUUGGCAGGUUGUUUCGGGGGUGGUCAGAGGAGGCAGGCACCCCUGAGUAAGACAGGACCGUGCCGUAAACGUCAAGCAGAAGGGCUGCUGUGUUGCCGUAAUAAACUAAUGACACUCUUGGUUUUCGACCUUUUCAAGUAUUUAAAGGACCCGAGCCAGCCUAUCUUAGAGGCCCUGGAUAAGGACACGUUGCCAACGGAUGAUGCCUGGGACUCUGUGUCCAUUGUUUCGUUUCCAGAGAAGGAGCAAGAAGACGUUCCCCAAAGCACUUGGACCCAAGACUCUGGUCCGGUCUGCCAGCCUGUGGGACAAGAGCUCUGAGUCGAGGAGGCUGCUGAUGGUCCUGGCAGGACUCUCUGGAGCCCAGCAUUCCAUAUUCCUGUCCCCAAAAGGCCCAUCAGUGCCUGGGAAGACGUAACGGGUCUCAUGGGGGCGACAAGCCUAAUUUUUUUAAAAGAGUUUUCUAAUCAUACACGUUUCCAGAAUGAUUCUACAGAGAUAGCCCCGAAAGAUUUAAGAUUUCUCUUAAACACUAAAAAGACAUGUAAUUAUUUGUUAGCAAAACAGCUCUGGCAUGCCUCUGAUGCUUUGUUCAUCGGCAGCCAGGACACGGGGUCCCCUCCUUGACGCAGCCCUGCGGGCAGAUCACGUCACCUGUCCCAGCCUGUCCCAAGAAGGGACAUUAAGUGGCCCUUCUUCAUAUCCAGUCACCCGGCUUAAACUGUGAUUCGUCCUGUAAAUAGUUUCCUAGUGAUUUAAGCCUUUUUUUCUUUUCAAGCUAGGAAUAAAAGACUGUAAUUAACUUUUAAAAA